rnacentral:rRNA from 1 species
CCAGAGAACUUAGCAGAGAUGCUUUGGUGCCUUCGGGAACUCUGAGACAGGUGCUGCAUGGCUGUCGUCAGCUCGUGUUGUGAAAUGUUGGGUUAAGUCCCGCAACGAGCGCAACCCUUAUCCUUUGUUGCCAGCGGCUCGGCCGGGAACUCAAAGGAGACUGCCGGUGAUAAACCGGAGGAAGGUGGGAUGACGUCAAGUCAUCAUGGCCCUUACGGCCAGGGCUACACACGUGCUACAAUGGCGCAUACAAAGAGAAGCGACCUCGCGAGAGCAAGCGGACCUCAUAAAGUGCGUCGUAGUCCGGAUUGGAGUCUGCAACUCGACUCCAUGAAGUCGGAAUCGCUAGUAAUCGUAGAUCAGAAUGCUACGGUGAAUACGUUCCCGGGCCUUGUACACACCGCCCGUCACACCAUGGGAGUGGGUUGCAAAAGAAGUAGGUAGCUUAACCUUCGGGAGGGCGCUUACCACUUUGUGAUUCAUGACUGGGGUGAAGUCGUAACAAGGUAAGCGUAGCGAG